AGAGUUUGAUCAUGGCUCAGGACGAACGCUGGCGGCGUGCCUAAUACAUGCAAGUCGAGCGAGCUUGCCUAGAUGAAUUUGGUGCUUGCACCAAAUGAAACUAGAUACAAGCGAGCGGCGGACGGGUGAGUAACACGUGGGUAACCUGCCCAAGAGACUGGGAUAACACCUGGAAACAGAUGCUAAUACCGGAUAACAACACUAGACGCAUGUCUAGAGUUUAAAAGAUGGUUCUGCUAUCACUCUUGGAUGGACCUGCGGUGCAUUAGCUAGUUGGUAAGGUAACGGCUUACCAAGGCAAUGAUGCAUAGCCGAGUUGAKAGACUGAUCGGCCACAUUGGGACUGAGACACGGCCCAAACUCCUACGGGAGGCAGCAGUAGGGAAUCUUCCACAAUGGACGCAAGUCUGAUGGAGCAACGCCGCGUGAGUGAAGAAGGGUUUCGGCUCGUAAAGCUCUGUUGGUAGUGGAAGAAAGAUAGAGGUAGUAACUGGCCUUUAUUUGACGGUAAUUACUUAGAAAGUCACGGCUAACUACGUGCCAGCAGCCGCGGUAAUACGUAGGUGGCAAGCGUUGUCCGGAUUUAUUGGGCGUAAAGCGAGUGCAGGCGGUUCAAUAAGUCUGAUGUGAAAGCCUUCGGCUCAACCGGAGAAUUGCAUCAGAAACUGUUGAACUUGAGUGCAGAAGAGGAGAGUGGAACUCCAUGUGUAGCGGUGGAAUGCGUAGAUUAUAUGGAAGAAACACCCAGUGGCGAAGGGCGGCUCUCUGGUCUGCAACUGACGCUGAGGCUCGAAAGCAUGGGUAGCGAACAGGAUUUAGAUUACCCUGGUUAGUCCAUGCCGUAAACGAUGAGUGCUAAGUGUUGGGAGGUUUCCGCCUCUCAGUGCUGCAGCUAACGCAUUAAGCACUCCGCCUGGGGAGUACGACCGCAAGGUUGAAACUCAAAGGAAUUGACGGGGGCCCGCACAAG
rnacentral:rRNA from 1 species